rnacentral:sRNA from 1 species
GCCAGGUGUAGUGGCUCAUACCUGUAAUUCCAGCAACUAAGGAGGCUAAGGCAGGAUGAUAGCAAGUUUGAGGCUAGCCUCAGCAACUUAGCAAGACCUGUGUUUA